AGAGUUUGAUCAUGGCUCAGGAUGAACGCUGGCGGCGUGCUUAACACAUGCAAGUCGAACGAUGAAGCCCUGCUUGCAGGGUGGAUUAGUGGCGAACGGGUGAGUAACACGUGAGUAACCUGCCCCUGACUCUGGGAUAAGCCCGGGAAACUGGGUCUAAUACCGGAUAUGACUUCCUACUGCAUGGUGGGUUGUUGAAAGAUUUAUCGGUGGGGGAUGGACUCGCGGCCUAUCAGCUUGUUGGUGAGGUAAUGGCUCACCAAGGCGACGACGGGUAGCCGGCCUGAGAGGGUGACCGGCCACACUGGGACUGAGACACGGCCCAGACUCCUACGGGAGGCAGCAGUGGGGAAUAUUGCACAAUGGGCGGAAGCCUGAUGCAGCGACGCCGCGUGAGGGAUGACGGCCUUCGGGUUGUAAACCUCUUUCAGUAGGGAAGAAGCGAAAGUGACGGUACCUGCAGAAGAAGCGCCGGCUAACUACGUGCCAGCAGCCGCGGUAAUAC
rnacentral:rRNA from 1 species